ACCUACAGCACAGCACAGUGGUCAAGAUGGGGCCACUGAAGGGAGCCCCAAAUCAGCAGGCAGCAUGGGCACUGCCGCAUGGCUGCAGCAGUCCAGCUGCAGUGAGCCCAGGGUGAGGACAGCAAAGGGGAACUUCCACUGCCCAUCACAACUGAGACAGGGACACCAGGAGGCAGGGGACAGACACAGUGCUCUUCUCGAAACUGCCAAGGAGGUGACUCCAUUUCUGCUGACAGACUAACACUAUGAUGCACACACACCCUGCCAGGGCAGACAGUGCCAACUUAGAUGGGGACUUUGAACAUGCAGAGAAAUCAACCAGCAACCAAAAGCUCAUGCUGGCCCAAGAUGUGAAAACUCCAUCACUGAACGUUCAAUCAAACAGCUGACAAUGUCUUCCUUUACUUCAGGAACAAGAGCAACAUACUCAAGGGGCACAGGAGGGCUCAGGGCCUGAAGAACUACCUCCUGUCUUCUCCAGUCACCGCCUCUGAGCCCUGACAGAACAGCCUGGAGAACACAGCACAUGCGCUGAUCCCCAGGCUGCGUCCACCAGAUACCUGGAAUACACCCAGGCUCAUCAAGAGUAGAUAGAUGGACCAGACCCACAGAGAGCAGAGGUUCUAACCCAUCCAAGAAUGUCCACUCAGAAUGACCCGCUCUUUCAGAGUCACAAGGACACUGUGACUUUCACAGACUGGUCAACCACAUUGGUCUAAGUCUUGACACUUUGGCACAACAAGGUAACCAACCUUCAGAAAUUCCUACCGACCUUCCUAAAUCCCAGGAAGACAUGGCUCCAUGGGAAAAUGGACCCUCCUCAGGCAGAGCUGGGGCCAGUGCUGGCCACUCUCAUCUAACAGCUGGUGCUCCUGGACCCAAAGGGAAAGGAUUCCUUGGAACAGCAAAGGGGAGGAAGAGAGUAGCAGCUACAGCCACUGAGCUUUCAAGGGCCAGACCCUGUACCACCAUUUAACAGCCUCACCGUGACCUGUGCAGCCCCACUUUGCACAGAACCCAGGCAGAGGUUGUACCAUCUUCCAGAGCCACACAACACUGGGAAGUCCAAAAAGCUCAUCUGUACCCUGGUGCAGGCAUCGAAUGUCAACACACAGCACUUCCCAGACAAGAAU